rnacentral:lncRNA from 1 species
CAGUACGCCUAAGCAAUGUGAAGAUAUUCUUCUAGUAUUCUGAAAAUGAGAAAACAACAUUUGAUAUUGUACCUGCUGAUAAAGAAAACAGGUUAAAAUCAAUAAAUCCAUUUUUUGGAAAACCAAAAAGGAACCCUAAAAACUGAUGAAAUCAUUCCAAUACCCAUAAAAAAUUCUGCCACAUUCUUUCAAAGAAGAUUUCUUCUUUUUUUUCCUUCGAGAGCUAAAUAUAUUCUUGGCAAUUUUCUCACAUUUUCUGAGGAAAAGGAAAGAAAUCUUGUAAAGCCACUUUCCAAGUGUAAGAACAUACACAAUCUAAAAGGAUUACAAGGUAUUUGUGGGCGCCUACUUGUCUGGUCUGUUUAGGACUCGUUAAAAAAAAAAACAACAAAAGAAAACGAAGUUAGCAGAAUGAACUGUAAUUUCUGAGUGAAAUUUUUAUUUUUGGGUCUCUUGUAAAGCAGGCUUAGAUUCCAUUCUCUCUUUUCCUUUUCAAAAUGCCAAAUAUGCUGACUCAGAUUUUACAAUACUCAUUCCAUUCCUUGACUCUCUCACUCAUCUCUUUCAACACCAUCUUCAGGCCUGCAACCAAAAAGCAAGAACUGUAAUCAUAAGACAAUACGAGCCUAGCUAUUUAUUUACUGCUCCCCAACUCUCACCUCUGUGUUCUCCACUGACCAACAUUUCAACCUGCUCCUUCUUCUCCAAGUCAUUUUCUUGUAUCCACUUUUGAUAUGUGUUUUCAAGCAUGGAGAGCCAUAGCAAUGGCUUCAUUGGUCGUUCAGCUCUGCAUUUCUUUUGGGGUUG